rnacentral:rRNA from 1 species
GACGAACGCUGGCGGCGUGCUUAACACAUGCAAGUCGAACGGAAAGGCCCUGCUCUUGUUGGGUGCUCGAGUGCCGAACGGGUGAGUAACACGUGAGUAACAUGCCCUUGACUUUGGGGUAACUUCAGGAAACUCCGGCUAAUACCGGAUAGGAUCUCCUGCUGCAUGGUGGGGGUUGGAAAGUUUCGGCGGUUGGGGAUGGAAUCGCGGCUUAUCAGCUUGUUGGUGGGGUAGUGGUUUACCAAGGCUUUGACGGCUAGGCGGCCUGAGAGGGUGACCGGCCACAUGGGGACUGAGAGAGGGAGCAGACUGCUACGGGAGGCAGCAGUGGGGAGUAUGACACAAUGGGCGGAAGCCUGAUGCAGCAACGCCGCGUGCGGGAUGACGGCCUUCGGGUGAUAAACCGCUUUGGCAUGUGACGUAGCGAGAGUGACGGUAAUUGGUAAAGAAGCACCGGCUAACUACGUG